rnacentral:rRNA from 1 species
GACGAACGCUGGCGGCGUGCCUAAUACAUGCAAGUUGAGCGCUGAAGGUUGGUACUUGUACCAACUGGAUGAGCAGCGAACGGGUGAGUAACGCGUGGGGAAUCUGCCUUUGAGCGGGGGACAACAUUUGGAAACGAAUGCUAAUACCGCAUAAAAACUUUAAACACAAGUUUUAAGUUUGAAAGAUGCAAUUGCAUCACUCAAAGAUGAUCCCGCGUUGUAUUAGCUAGUUGGUGAGGUAAAGGCUCACCAAGGCGAUGGUACAUAGCCGACCUGAGAGGUUGAUCGGCCACAUUGGGACUUGGACACGGCCCAAACUCCUACGGGAGGCAGCAGUAGGGAAUCUUCGGCAAUGGACGAAAGUCUGACCGAGCAACGCCGCGUGGGUGGAGAAGGUUUUCGGAUCGUGAAACUCUGUUGGUAGGGAAGAACGUUGGUGAGAGUGGAAAGCUCAUCAAGUGACGGUAACUACCCAGAAAGGGACGGCUAACUACGUG